CAGCCGCCGCGGUAAUACGUAGGUGGCAAGCGUUGUCCGGAAUUAUUGGGCGUAAAGGGCUCGCAGGCGGUUUCUUAAGUCUGAUGUGAAAGCCCCCGGCUCAACCGGGGAGGGUCAUUGGAAACUGGGAAACUUGAGUGCAGAAGAGGAGAGUGGAAUUCCACGUGUAGCGGUGAAAUGCGUAGAGAUGUGGAGGAACACCAGUGGCGAAGGCGACUCUCUGGUCUGUAACUGACGCUGAUGAGCGAAAGCGUGGGGAGCGAACAGGAUUAGAUACCCCCGUAGUCCCUGUCUCUUAUAC
rnacentral:rRNA from 1 species